rnacentral:rRNA from 1 species
UACAGAGGGGGCAAGCGUUAUUCGGAAUCAUUGGGCGUAAAGAGCGUGUAGGCGGUCCGGUAAGUCGGCUGUGAAAGUCCAGGGCUCAACCCUGGGAUGCCGGUCGAUACUGCCGGACUAGAGUUCGGAAGAGGCGAGUGGAAUUCCCGGUGUAGCGGUGAAAUGCGCAGAUAUCGGGAGGAACACCUAUGGCGAAGGCAGCUCGCUGGGACGUUACUGACGCUGAGACGCGAAAGCGUGGGGAGCAAACAGG